rnacentral:lncRNA from 1 species
GCCACUGCAUUCCAGCCUGGGCAACAGACUGAGACCCUGCCUCAAAAGAAAAAAAGAAAAAAAAAAAAGGAGAGCGCGUACUGUUGCGGAAGGGGCACUGCUCGAGAAACAGAGACGAAGGGAUGAUUUUCAAGUAAUCAAGACACCGAGAAAGACAAGAUUGGGGAUGGAAGAGCAGUAAGAAUUAAUGGAGACGUCCAAGAAUUGUAGUUCGGGCGCGGUGGCUCAUGCCUGUAAUCCCAGCACUUUGGGAGGCUGAGCUGGAGUCUCACUCUGUUGCCCAGGCUGGAGUGCAGUGGCACGAUCUCAGCUCACUGCAAGCUCCGCCUCCCGGAUUCAAGCGAUUCUCCUGCCUCAGCCUCCCGAGUAGCUGGGACUACAGAGUAUCGAGCUGUCGCCCAGGCUGGAGUGCAAUGGCAUGAUCUUGGCUCACUGCAACCUCUGCCUCCCGCGUUCUAAGUGAUUCUCCUUCCUCAGCCUCCCGAAUAGCUGGGAUUAUAGGCACGCACCAUCAUGCAUGGCUAAUUUUGUAUUUUUAGUAGAGAUGGGGUUUCCCCAUGUUGGCCAGGCUGGUCUCGAACUCCUGAUCUCAGGUUAUCCACCCGCCUCAGCCUCUCCAAGUGCUGGGAUUACAAGUGUGAGCCACCGCACCCCGCCCUAAUCUCAGCCUUUUUAUAUCUUCUUGGUAGGCCCACUUUUUGGCAUCCCCUAACAAGAAGUCCUCAGAGAUUUUUACUACUCAACAUGUGUGCGUCCCACUCAGAUGUAUUGUGUUCUUUCUGUUCACCCUCUACUUCCCAUUCCAUUUCUUCCUCUGACUUAGGGUUAGAAUGGCCCAAUGAUCCUACAACUUUUUGAUGCUAUUUCAUUUGAUUCCUCUACUGUCUAAAUCACAAGUUGGCUAACUUUACUUACUGUAAGGGAUCAGAUAGCAAAUAGUUUAGGCCUUGUGGGCCAUUCAAUCUGUCAUAACUACCCACUCUGACCAUAUGUAGUGCAAAAGCAGCCCUUGACAAUAUAUAAAUGAAUGAACGUGAAUGUAUUUCAAUAAAGCUUUACUUGUGGACACUGAA